UUUUAUUUAUUUUUCUCUCCUUUGAAUUCCUGGUUAUUUCUUUGCAGUCACCCCAAACCAGAAGGCCUGGCUGCUGCCAAGAAGCUUUGUGAGAAUCUUUUGCAAACAGUUCAUGCUGAAUACUCUAGAUUUGUGAAUCAGAUUAAUACUGCUGUACCUUUACCAGCAGCCAGUUCAACCUCCCUACGGAGUACCAAGCAUAGUGCCACCAGCUGUUUCAUUAGCACCUGGAGUCUUGCCGGCAUUACCUACUGGAGUCCCACCUGUGCCAACACAAUACCCGAUAACACAAGUGCAGCCUCCAGCUAGCACUGGACAGAGUCCGAUGGGUGGUCCUUUUAUUCCUGCUGCUCCUGUCAAAACUGCCUUGCCUGCUGGCCCCCAGCCCCAGCCCCAGCCCCAGCCCCCACUCCCAAGUCAGCCCCAGGCACAGAAGAGACGAUUCACAGAGGAGCUACCAGAUGAACGGGAAUCUGGACUGCUUGGAUACCAGGUUAAAUAAAAUACCCUGUUUUCCUAUCUUCACCUUAUUCUUCUACUAUAUUCUCCCUUUAAAAAAGAUAAAUUCACAUCAUUCUCCCAGUACUAGGAUUUCUGCUUUCUGGAAUUCAUUUUGGUUAGGUUUUUUAUCCUAUUCAACAGACUCUUGAAAGCCUCUGAGAGUUCUUACUUUCUUAUACAUCUCACUCAAAGCUCUUGAUCUACCAGUAUGUGGUUUGUAUUUAAAACCUUGGCUUUCAGUGGUGCUCUCUCUUUUACCCUCCACCUAAAAAAGAGAGUGAUAUCUCCCUCCAGUCUCCCCACCCCUCAAGACUGCUAGAAAAGGAGUGAUUCUGUACAUGUAAUUGUAAAGUUAGCCACUAAAGUUAAAAAGAUUCUUAAUUUGUAGUUUUGGUGCAAUUUUAUCAGAAGUACCUUUCCAUUUUGCCAGAAUCCUUGAAUCAUUCUUUAAACCAAAGCAUUUUUUUAUAGUUUCUAGCUAGGUUUAUAGAAACUAGUGGAGCUAUGGGCAGUCAGUUAAAAACAGGCCAUAGAUAGCAUAAUGAAUUAUAACACCCCUGUCCAAGUCCUAUAGAGAAAAAAAAAAAUCCCUACUUUUGACUACAGUUACACAGCAGAUCCCAAAGAGCUUUGUAGUAGUUUAACGUACUACAACUUAUCAGAAAGAUGAGGCACUUGACAGUUACAUUAAGGAGCUAAAGUCAAUACGGCAGUUGUAGAUUUGCUAAUGCCACUGUAUUUUUCUGCUCAUAGCAUGGACCCAUUCAUAUGACUAAUUUAGGUACAGGCUUCUCCAGUCAGAAUGAGAUUGAAGGUGCAGGAUCGAAGCCAGCAAGUUCCUCAGGCAAAGAGAGAGAGAGGGACAGGCAGUUGAUGCCUCCACCAGCCUUUCCAGUGACUGGAAUAAAAACAGAGUCCGAUGAAAGGAAUGGGUCUGGGACCUUAACAGGGAGCCAUGGUGAGUGUGAUAUAGCUGGGGGAACAGGGGAGUGGCUAAGACUGGUCUAAAGCUAUUAGUUUUCUCAGCCGGGCGCAGUGGCUCACGCCUGUAAUCCCAGCACUUUGGGAGGCCGAGGUGGGCAGAUCACCUAAGGUCAGGAGUUCAAGACCAGCUUGGCCAACAUAGUGAAAUCCCAUCUCUACUAAAAAUACAAAAACUAGCGGGCAUGGUGGUGGGCGCCUGUAAUUCCAGCUACUCAGGGGGUUGAGGCAGGAGAAUCGCUUCAACCUGGGAGGCAGAGGUUGCAGUGAGCCAAGAUCAGACCACUGCCCUCCAGCCUGGGCAAUAGAGCAAGACUCCAUCUCAUAAAUAAAUAAAUACAUAAAUAAAGCUAUUAAUUUUCUAACCUGAUGUUCAUUCAGGUGUUUAAUCCAACCUCUAUAAUCUGUUGGCCAGUGAAAAUACUUUUGGGCUGGGCACGGUGGCUCACGCCUGUAAUCCCAGCACUUUGGGAGGCCAAGGUGGGCGGAUAACCUGAGGUCAGGAGUUUGAGACCAGCGUGGCUAACAUGGUGAAACCCCGUCUCUACUAAAAAUAGAAAAAUUAAGCUGGGCAUGGUGGUGCAUGCCUGUAAUUCCAGCGGCUUGGAAGGCUGAGGCAGGAGAAUCACUUGAACUUGGGAGGUGGAGGUUGCAGUGAGCCAAGAUCACACCACUGCAUUCCAGCCUGGGCACUAGAGUGAGACUCUGUCUC
rnacentral:lncRNA from 10 species